GGGUUGUGAGGUUAAGCGACUAAGCGUACACGGUGGAUGCCCUGGCAGUCAGAGGCGAUGAAGGGCGUGCUAAUCUGCGAUAAGCGCCGGUAAGGUGAUAUGAACCGUUAUAACCGGCGAUACCCGAAUGGGGAAACCCAGUGUGAUUCGUCACACUAUCAUUAACUGAAUCCAUAGGUUAAUGAGGCGAACCGGGGGAACUGAAACAUCUAAGUACCCCGAGGAAAAGAAAUCAACCGAGAUUCCCCCAGUAGCGGCGAGCGAACGGGGAGGAGCCCAGAGCCUGAAUCAGCAUGUGUGUUAGUGGAAGCGUCUGGAAAGGCGCGCGAUACAGGGUGACAGCCCCGUACACAAAAGCGCAUAUGCUGUGAGCUCGAUGAGUAGGGCGGGACACGUGGUAUCCUGUCUGAAUAUGGGGGGACCAUCCUCCAAGGCUAAAUACUCCUGACUGACCGAUAGUGAACCAGUACCGUGAGGGAAAGGCGAAAAGAACCCCGGCGAGGGGAGUGAAAAAGAACCUGAAACCGUGUACGUACAAGCAGUGGGAGCCCCACCACUAAGCCAGUGGUGAACUCCACAUACGCAUCCUUUGCUGAGGAGACGGUUAACGGAGCGAAAGCGACGUUCAACCUCAAAAGAAGCAGAGGGGGCUUAGUGGUGGGGUGACUGCGUACCUUUUGUAUAAUGGGUCAGCGACUUAUAUUCUGUAGCAAGGUUAACUGUAUAGGGGAGCCGGAGGGAAACCGAGUCUUAACCGGGCGUUAAGUUGCAGGGUAUAGACCCGAAACCCGGUGAUCUAGCCAUGGGCAGGUUGAAGGUUGGGUAACACUAACUGGAGGACCGAACCGACUAAUGUUGAAAAAUUAGCGGAUGACCUGUGGCUGGGGGUGAAAGGCCAAUCAAACCGGGAGAUAGCUGGUUCUCCCCGAAAGCUAUUUAGGUAGCGCCUCGUGAAUUCAUCUCCGGGGGUAGAGCACUGUUUCGGCUAGGGGGCCAUCCCGGCUUACCAACCCGAUGCAAACUGCGAAUACCGGAGAAUGUUAUCACGGGAGACACACGGCGGGUGCUAAUGUCCGUCGUGAAGAGGGAAACAACCCAGACCGCCA
rnacentral:rRNA from 1 species